UACUAGCGGUCCAAGUCGCAGCCAUUUUUAUUGGGUCUAAAACAUCCGUAGCUUGUUUAAUAAGUUUUUUGUGAAAUUUUGUAUCUUAAAUACAGAGCGAGCAAAAAGUACUAUUAAGCUAGAGACUGGAAGACGUAGGAAGUACGAUCGAGGUAGCGGUAAAAUGUUUUAAUCUUGGUCGGACUCACAAUAGCGAAGGCAUCCUACGAGGACAGUUCUGACAGUAAGGGAUGAAGGCUAGGGGCGCAAAACGGAUUAGAUACCCUCGUA
rnacentral:rRNA from 1 species